rnacentral:rRNA from 1 species
GAUCCUGGCUCAGGAUGAACGCUAGCGACAGGCCUAACACAUGCAAGUCGAGGGGCAGCGGAGAGGUAGCAAUACCUUUGCCGGCGACCGGCGCACGGGUGAGUAACACGUAUGCAAUCCACCUGUAACAGGGGGAUAACCCCGGGAGAAAUCCGGACUAAUACCCCAUAAUAUGGGCGCUCCGCAUGGAGAGCCCAUUAAAGAGAGCAAUUUUGGUUACAGACGAGCAUGCGCUCCAUUAG